rnacentral:lncRNA from 1 species
UCCUUCUUCUUCUUCUUCUUCUUCUUCUUCUUCUUCUUCUUCUUCUUCUUGCCAAUGUUGUCUGUCUACAUAACCCUGUCAGUGCUAGAAGUCUCUAUGUAGAUUAGGCUUUCCUUGAACUAACAGACAUCCCCCUGCCUCUGCCUCACAAAUGCUGGUAUCAAAGGCUUGCAUCAUUAUGCCUGGGGUCUUUUUUGGGGGGUGGGGAUCAUUGUCUGGUUUUGAUAUCAGGGUAGUAGUAGCUUUAUAAAAAUAACUUGGAAGGUUUCCUUUGUUUUCUAUUUUGUGAACUUAUUUGAAGAGUGUUGGUGUUAGUUCUUUGAAAGUCUUAAAGAACUAUGCACUAAAUCCAUCUCUAAGCUUUGUUAGUUGGAAGAUAUUUAGUUACUACUUCUAUCUCAUUAAAUGCCAUUACUCUUUUUAAAAUUAUUUCAUUUUGAUUUAGAUUUAUUAAAACAUUUAUAUCUAAAAGUGAAUUCAUUCUUCAACUUUUGUGAAAUAUAAAAAUUUUAAAUAUGCUCUUGUGAUUCUCUGAAUUUCCUCAGUGUCCAUUGUAAUGUCUCCCUUUCAGCUCUAAUGUGAUUAAUUUUGAUUCCCCUCUUUCUUUUUUCAAUAUGUCUAAAGGUUUGUCAACAUUUUUUCCCCUAAGAAUCAACUUUUUAUUUUUUUUUCAGUACUAUUUAAAAACACAAUGUAUUCCUUGGUAUAAGACCUUCUAGAACAGGUUUUCUUCCCUCUUUUUGUGUUUGUUUUGUUUUGUUUUGUUUUGUUUUGUUUUGUUUUGUUUUGAGACAGGCUCUUCUGUGUAGCCCUGACUGUCGUGGAACUCACUCAGUAGACCAGAUUGACCUCGAACUCAGAGAUACCAGCCUCUCAAAUGCUGGGAUUAAAGGCAGGUGCCACCAUUGCCUAGCUCAGAACAGGUUUUUCAAACCCCUCAGAACCACAGAAAGCUCUUCUGCUAUCUUAACAGGUUGAAGUGCUGUAGACAUCAGGACAUUAGUAAAGCAGAGCCUCUCCCUACCCAGGAAAGCACAGUCCUAUGUGGCACAGACAAGGAGAUAACCAACCACAUAAUUAGCUGUAAGUAAUCAGAACCUGGGACAGUAGAAAUGUGCCAUAUGUGAUAUCAGCGAACUCAAGAGUCUCUUCUCACAUAUGCUUUCAUGCCAAUGUUACUAAGUCAUGUUCUACAAGUGCCCUGACUCCCUUUGUAUUCUGCAUAGAUGGAAAUUCCAUGGAACUGAGUUGUCCAGGAGAUUACUAAUAAAGCUGCAUUAUAUCAAAUCAUCGCAACUCAAACCCAGUAGCUCCUGUUCAAGUCAAGGCGACUGAUGUCCUGGCCAGUCUCUCAUAUGAUAGGGCUCUACACCAAUCUUUGCUAGAAGUCAGAUGGAAGAGGAAGCCAGUGUAGCAAUCUGCCACACUUACAUAGUGUUCUGAAGCACAGCCUUGGGGUGAGGGUGGGGGGCAUGAGCUCUGGAGACCAGGUAAGUGGGAGAUAAUGCUGCUUUAGCAUAGACAUCAGACCAGCAAUAUGUGCAUUUAACAAAGCUGUGCUGGGGGAAAGGGAGGCAAGGGAGCUAAAAAUGGGUAAAGAAAGGAUGUUAUCAAACAUAUCGGGGGGAAAUCAAACAGUUGAGGCAGAGCAAUGCCAACCUUCAUUGGAAAGGUGCUGCUAGAAUGUUGAAAAUUCUAAGAGAUGCCUUUAAGUAGACACUUGCAGGUCUCUUAUUUCACAUCAUGUGCUGGGAGCUGGCAAGGCUUUAUCAGAGAAAGGGCACAGCUCUAAGCCUGGGUUAUAGCCAAAGAAUUCCAUGCUACUUACUUCAUUCUAUCAUAAUCUGACAGUAGGAAUUAUACUCUUAAGAAAAUAUUGUUCAGCCGAAUAGCUAGAAAAGAAUAAUCAGGGAGCCAGGAACGCAAGGCUCAGCAGAGCCUGCAGGGAAAGGGUUGCUAAUUCUUGGCAUCAUGUGUUUCUAUGCAAACAUAGAAGUUGGUAUGCUGUGGGCCUGAUAACUCAGAGAGUUUGCAUCAAGUGCCAACAAAGCAAAGCGCAAAUCCAUAAAAGGUAAAGAAAUGAGAUUUCAUUGAACAUGAACGUAUAGAAGCUAAGUCAGUGAUAAAUCUUGCCAAACACACACACACACACGUUGAUUAAAAUGGGAAAAAAAUAUUCUAACACAAAAGUGUAACUUGGGAACCAGGGGCACAUGUCUGUGACUUUGGCAUUCAGAAAGUUGAGGCAGGAGAGUGGUGAGUUUGACCAGCUGGGGCAACAUAGUAAGACACUUCUCUCCUUCCAAACAAGAAGGGGAAUUUGGACUUUAACAGAAGGAAAAGCAGCAGUGGUUAGAACUUGCACCGAACAGUUGUGCAAGUUCUUUGGAGUGUGUUUCUGUGUGUUCAUUCAGCAUGCCUCACAGAUCCGGGUACUGAGCAUGGAUGGAAAAAGCCUGAUGACACAAGACUCUGGAAAUAUUUGCCUUUACCAUCAAUUCCUUGGGGCAGAAAAUAACAAGAUUUGGCUGUCAAAGAGAAACUACAUCCUAGACAGAAUAAUGGCACCACAGAGAUGCCACAGAGUUGGAGGGAGCUGUGUAUAAACCCACAUAUUUUCCAACAGGAAGAUUACAAUUCUGUCUCAAACACCUUGUGCAUGGAAAGCCAUUCUAGCCUCAUUUAAAACCUUGAAAGAUACAAGUAAGAGCUUCACUUUACAAACAAACGAGGUGGAAUCAGAGAAAUUCAGAGAUGAUGAAAAUUUACAGGACUUGGUAGAUAUAGAGCUAUGUGACAAGACCUCGUGGAACUGGAUCCAGAAUUGGCUCUGAGCUACAGUGUGGCACCGCUUAAAACACUGGCCAGUUGACCAGACCAGUGGGAAAAUAUCUGCCUUAAAGUUAAUAUCACACUUGUAGAUACUAGCAGGCUUGAAAGUCCCUGGGAAGGGUCCCUUCCUCAUAUUCAUAUUCUAGCUCUACUGCAUAUAUCCUUGGUGAUACAUUGAUUUUAGAAAGAGGGAAAUCACAAUUUCCCUUCCUUAGCUAUGUGAAAGGAAGGAGAAAUGGGCAAAGAUAAAUACUGCCCACUCCCUUAAGAGAUAAUCUUCCUUAAAAGGUAAUCUAAAUAUUUAUUCCUCUUAUUUUCCUCAUUUGUUAGUUUAUCCCUUUUCUUUUCUUUAUUUAUUUUAAUUAGAUGUUUUCUUUAUUUACAUUUCAAAUGUUAUCCCUCUUCCCAGUUUCCUCUCAGAAAAAUCCCCUAUUCCCCUCCCCACCACUCUGCUCCCC